UCCGCAUAACUUCAGCGGGACGCGUCGU
rnacentral:sRNA from 1 species